CUGGGACCCAGUCACAAGAGGAGGAGGUCAGAGCACAGAUGCUGGGACCCAGUCACAAGAGGAGGAGGUCAGAGCACAGAUGCUAGGACCCAGUCACAAGAAGAGAUGGACCGGACACUGUCGCAGUCCCAAGAAGCAGACAGGCAAUCCCAGGAACACCAGCCCAUUUUGUUGCUCACCAACAGUAUUGAUGAUAGUGACAUAGAAACAUCCGUAUGGUGGAGAAGGCUGAGGUAUUCUGAUUGUUUGUAAAGCAGUGCGCUGCGAGGCAAGCAGAUCACAAGGUGUUUUGGGGGUGUGUUUCCAGCACCAUCCAGCAGCUGAUCUAGCAGUCAUCACCCACCAAUUGCUGCACAACAAGGUGUUAGCAGUCCAAGACUGGUCUGUGUUCUGGCAGCAGAUUCGGAUGAACAGCAAUGUAAAAGAAUCUUGCACAGAGUUAAACACUUCAACAGACACCUGAGCAUUGGCAUUCAUAUGAUCUACCUGUGAAGUUCAACCAGGCUUUAUAAAGCAUUACACACAAGGCAGCUAUGAUACACUGUGUUGUAAUUGGCCAAAAAUGCAGAUUGGUAACACCAGUCACCUAAGCCACCAUUGCCCUUGCAGACAAGAGUGUGAAGUAACAGCCCCUACAGUUUACAGCAAAGCCCUCGACUGUAGCCCUACAAACUUCAGAUACUGCCGAUGGCGUAGAUGCACUGAACUUUGCCAGUUUUUCAGCUAUGUUGAAUUGACAUCUCCAACUGAUUUUAAGAGCCAGGAUUGAUAUCAGACUGCUUGACAGCACGGACCUCUUUCUUGGGUGGAUGGAUUCAGAGAUGACCUACAGAUGCAGCCAUGACUGUGGCACAUGAAUGUUAUAGAUGAUGACUGUAAAGAAAUGAUGAUAGCAGAAAAAUGAAACUAUCUUAAUAUGGUUUUCUGGAAUUAAAUUAGCAGACAAAGUAUUCAUAUUUCUGUGGAAAAAUAAUGUCAUAGCUGAAAUAUGUUUUGCAAAUUCAAAAUGGUAAUGUUUUUCUCAUAUUUUAUGCUGGCAUCACAAAUAUUAUCAUUGGCUCUGUAUACGGUAAUCUCUCACUUCAAAACAUAACUAAUUGGACUAUUUGAAGAUUAAAUCUUCAUUAUUUUUAUUUAAUAUAAAAUGCUAUGCUGGUUUUACUGUCUUAAAUAAUGUUACUUAUUAUGUCUGAAAAGCCUAAAAUAAAGUUUACAAAUUU